rnacentral:rRNA from 1 species
AGGGGGCGAGCGUUAUCCGGAUUCAUUGGGCGUAAAGCGCGCGUAGGCGGGCGCCUAAGCGGGACCUCUAACCUCGGGGCUCAACCCCGAGCCGGGUCCCGAACUGGGCGCCUCGAGUCCGGUAGGGGAGAUCGGAAUUCCCGGUGUAGCGGUGGAAUGCGCAGAUAUCGGGAAGAACACCGAUGGCGAAGGCAGAUCUCUGGGCCGUGACUGACGCUGAGGCGCGAAAGCUAGGGGAGCGA